rnacentral:sRNA from 1 species
AAAACUAAACUAAAAAUAGAAUAAAAAUCAUUAUCUAUAUUAUUAAUUGGGAAGCAUUGUGUGAACUACAACAUUGUAAAGGUAGUUUAAGACUAACUAAAUGAAUUUUUGCAUGUGUAAUUUAGUAACUUAACAACUACUACAACUAAAUAAAUAUCUUGGAUUUUGUUUUUAUUU